rnacentral:rRNA from 1 species
CCGGACCGGCGCACGGGUGAGUAACACGUAUGGAACCUGCCCUAUGCAGGGGGAUAAGCGGAAGAAAUUCCGUCUAAUACCGCAUAACACCUUUAGGAGACAUCUUCUUGGGGUCAAAGGAGGCGACUCCGGCAUAGGAUGGCCAUGCGUCGCAUUAGCUAGUCGGCGGGGUAACGGCCCACCGAGGCGACGAUGCGUAGGGGUUCUGAGAGGAAGGUCCCCCACACUGGUACUGAGACACGGACCAGACUCCUACGGAAGGCAGCAG